rnacentral:rRNA from 1 species
GACGAACGCUGGCGGCGUGCUUAGCACAUGCAAGUCGAACGGAAAGGCCCUGCGUUCGUGGGGUGCCGGAGGGGCGAAGGGGGGAGUAACACGUGAGUAACCUGCCCUACACUUUGGGAGAACUUAAGGAAAGGGGGGCUAAUACCGGAUAGGAGCUCCUGCUGCAGGGUGGGCGGUGGAUAGUCUCGGCGGUCGGGGCUGGAUUGGCGGCUUACCAGCUUGUUGGUGGGGUAGGUGCUUACCAAGGCUGUGGAGGGUAGGCCGCCUGUGAGGGUGACCGGCCACCUUGGGACUGCGAGACGGACCAGACUGCUACGUGAGGCAGCAGUGGGGAACCUUGCACAAUGGGCGCACGCCUGAUGCAGCAACGCCGCGUGCGGGAUGCCGGCCUUUGGGUUGUAAACAGCUUUCGCCUGUGACGCAGCGUGAGUGACGGUAAUGAGUAAAGAAGCACCGGCUAACUACGUG